rnacentral:ncRNA from 1 species
GUGGAGCCCAUGGCUUAACAACCUAGUGCUAGAGAAACCAUUGAUUCACAUAAUAGGUCAUCGCGUUUGGUUGAAAAGCUAGUGGUGCGAAGCUACUAUGUUCUAGAUUAUAACUAAACGCCUCUAAGUUAGAAUCUAAGAUAGAAGCACUGCAUGCGCUCAAUGUCUGCUUGUCGACCCACAGUAGGGGCCUCAUCCCCUAAUGACACGUGUCAUUGGCUAAACUACCAUGGCAGAAGGGUUAUGGUGGCUGCCUUGAGGUACAAUUUCCAUCUAGCAUUCGGUAGAAUUCUUUGUAAAGGACUUAAAUACAUGAUGGGGUAUUGUAAUUGGUAGAGUUGCCUUGCUUCCACUAUUCAUUGAGUUCAUCCCUUUAUCACUCAGGUUC